rnacentral:rRNA from 1 species
CAGCCAUGCCGCGUGUGUGAAGAAGGCCUUUUGGUUGUAAAGCACUUUAAGCGAGGAGGAGGCUUACCUGGUUAAUACCUGGGAUAAGUGGACGUUACUCGCAGAAUAAGCACCGGCUAACUCUGUGCCAGCAGCCGCGGUAAUACAGAGGGUGCAAGCGUUAAUCGGAUUUACUGGGCGUAAAGCGCGCGUAGGUGGCUAAUUAAGUCAAAUGUGAAAUCCCCGAGCUUAACUUGGGAAUUGCAUUCGAUACUGGUUAGCUAGAGUAUGGGAGAGGAUGGUAGAAUUCCAGGUGUAGCGGUGAAAUGCGUAGAGAUCUGGAGGAAUACCGAUGGCGAAGGCAGCCAUCUGGCCUAAUACUGACACUGAGGUGCGAAAGCAUGGGGAGCAAACAGGAUUAGAUACCCUGGUAGUCCAUGCCGUAAACGAUGUCUACUAGCCGUUGGGGCCCUUGAGGCUUUAGUGGCGCAGCUAACGCGAUAAGUAGACCGCCUGGGGAGUACGGUCGCAAGACUAAAACUCAAAUGAAUUGACGGGGGCCCGCACAAGCGGUGGAGCAUGUGGUUUAAUUCGAUGCAACGCGAAGAACCUUACCUGGCCUUGACAUACAGAGAACUUUCCAGAGAUGGAUUGGUGCCUUCGGGAACUCUGAUACAGGUGCUGCAUGGCUGUCGUCAGCUCGUGUCGUGAGAUGUUGGGUUAAGUCCCGCAACGAGCGCAACCCUUUUCCUUAUUUGCCAGCACUUCGGGUGGGAACUUUAAGGAUACUGCCAGUGACAAACUGGAGGAAGGCGGGGACGACGUCAAGUCAUCAUGGCCCUUACGGCCAGGGCUACACACGUGCUACAAUGGUCGGUACAAAGGGUUGCUACUGCGCGAGCAGAUGCUAAUCUCAAAAAGCCGAUCGUAGUCCGGAUCGCAGUCUGCAACUCGACUGCGUGAAGUCGGAAUCGCUAGUAAUCGCGGAUCAGAAUGCCGCGGUGAAUACGUUCCCGGGCCUUGUACACACCGCCCGUCACACCAUGGGAGUUUGUUGCACCAGAAGUAGGUAGUCUAACCUUAGGGAGGACGCUUACCACGGUGUGGCCGAUGACUGGGGUGAAGUCGUAACAAGGUAGCCGUAGGGGA